CAUCUCCUCUUUCCCCAGACCUGUACCCUCGCAGGGGAAGCAAUGGGGUGAACUAGAUUGCUGCCCCUAUCUGGGUUAAAAGAAGCCCUGCCAAAAACAAAUAAACAAACAAACAAACAAAAUGCACAGAUAUUGGAUAAACCUAAUCAGCUUAGUGGAGGGAAUAAGAAAUGCUCUGACAGUGGGAUCAUUUGUUCUCCAGAGACAUAAAUCAUCCUCGUGGGUUUAUACUAAGAAUACAGAGGUGAACUGAACCCAUUCUGGAGAGCCUUGAAAGAUUUCUCAGGGGCCAAGAAAGUAAGAAGAACAGCAUGAGACACCAAAGGGAAAAAGAAACAGCAGGAUGUAUAACACCAGAUUUCAAGGACUUUCAAAGUCAGCCUCUGCAGCAGAAAAA